UACGAGGGGGGCAAGCGUUGUUCGGAAUUAUUGGGCGUAAAGGGUGCGUAGGCGGUUUGAUAAGUCAUCUGUGAAAUCUCUGGGCUCAACCCAGAGUCUGCAGGCGAAACUGUCGGGCUUGAGUAUGGGAGAGGUGAGUGGGAAUUUCCGGUGUAGCGGUGAAAAUGCGUAGAGAUCGGAAAGAACACCACGGCGAAAGCAGCUCUCGCUGGGCCGACACUGACACUGAGAGACGAAAGC
rnacentral:rRNA from 1 species